rnacentral:rRNA from 1 species
ACAGAAGAUAUAAGUGCUGACAGCAUCUAAGCACGAAACUUGCUACAAGAUGAGUUCUCCCUUACCCUUUAAUGGUCCUGAAUGAACAUUGAUGACGACGACGUUGAUAGGACGGGUGUGUAAGCGCAGCGAUGCGAUGAGCUAACCGGUACUAAUGAACCGUGAGGCUUAACCUUACAACGCCGAAGC